rnacentral:rRNA from 1 species
GCUUAACACAUGCAAGUCGAGGGGCAGCAUGGUCUUAGCUUGCUAAGACUGAUGGCGACCGGCGCACGGGUGAGUAACACGUAUCCAACCUGCCGUCUACUCUUGGACAGCCUUCUGAAAGGAAGAUUAAUACAAGAUGGCAUCAUGAGUCCGCAUGUUCACAUGAUUAAAGGUAUUCCGGUAGACGAUGGGGAUGCGUUCCAUUAGAUAGUAGGCGGGGUAACGGCCCACCUAGUCUUCGAUGGAUAGGGGUUCUGAGAGGAAGGUCCCCCACAUUGGAACUGAGACACGGUCCAAACUCCUACGGGAGGCAGCAGUGAGGAAUAUUGGUCAAUGGGCGAGAGCCUGAACCAGCCAAGUAGCGUGAAGGAUGACUGCCCUAUGGGUUGUAAACUUCUUUUAUAAAGGAAUAAAGUCGGGUAUGGAUACCCGUUUGCAUGUACUUUAUGAAUAAGGAUCGGCUAACUCCGUGCCAGCAGCCGCGGUAAUACGGAGGAUCCGAGCGUUAUCCGGAUUUAUUGGGUUUAAAGGGAGCGUAGAUGGAUGUUUAAGUCAGUUGUGAAAGUUUGCGGCUCAACCGUAAAAUUGCAGUUGAUACUGGAUAUCUUGAGUGCAGUUGAGGCAGGCGGAAUUCGUGGUGUAGCGGUGAAAUGCUUAGAUAUCACGAAGAACUCCGAUUGCGAAGGCAGCCUGCUAAGCUGCAACUGACAUUGAGGCUCGAAAGUGUGGGUAUCAAACAGGAUUAGAUACCCUGGUAGUCCACACGGUAAACGAUGAAUACUCGCUGUUUGCGAUAUACUGCAAGCGGCCAAGCGAAAGCGUUAAGUAUUCCACCUGGGGAGUACGCCGGCAACGGUGAAACUCAAAGGAAUUGACGGGGGCCCGCACAAGCGGAGGAACAUGUGGUUUAAUUCGAUGAUACGCGAGGAACCUUACCCGGGCUUAAAUUGCAGAUGAAUUACGGUGAAAGCCGUAAGCCGCAAGGCAUCUGUGAAGGUGCUGCAUGGUUGUCGUCAGCUCGUGCCGUGAGGUGUCGGCUUAAGUGCCAUAACGAGCGCAACCCUUGUUGUCAGUUACUAACAGGUUCCGCUGAGGACUCUGACAAGACUGCCAUCGUAAGAUGUGAGGAAGGUGGGGAUGACGUCAAAUCAGCACGGCCCUUACGUCCGGGGCUACACACGUGUUACAAUGGGGGGUACAGAGGGCCGCUACCACGCGAGUGGAUGCCAAUCCCCAAAACCCCUCUCAGUUCGGACUGGAGUCUGCAACCCGACUCCACGAAGCUGGAUUCGCUAGUAAUCGCGCAUCAGCCACGGCGCGGUGAAUACGUUCCCGGGCCUUGUACACACCGCCCGUCAAGCCAUGGGAGCCGGGGGUACCUGAAGUGCGUAACCGCGAGGAGCGCCCUAGGGUAAAACUGGUGACUGGGGCUAAGUCAUAA